rfam:Loxodonta africana unplaced genomic scaffold scaffold_51, whole genome shotgun sequence.
GUGCUCACUUCGGCAGCACAUAUACUAAAAUUGAAACAACAUAGAAAAGAUUAGCAUGGCUCCUGCACAAUUAUAGGCAAUAUAAUAUGCAAAUACUGAGUACACACUAAUUU